UCAGCAGGCAGAUCCAAUUUUCUGCCACCGAAUACAUUAGCAUGGGAUAAUGGAAUAGGACCCUGUCCUCCUAUUUUCAGUUGGUUUUGGCAGCGCGAGGACUAGGGUAAUGAUUAAUAGGGAUAGUUGGGGGCAUUAAUAUUUAAUUGUCAGAGGUGAAAUUCUUGGAUUUAUGAAAGAUUAACUUCUGCGAAAGCAUCUGCCAAGGAUGUUUUCAUUAAUCAAGAACGAAAGUUAGGGGAUCGAAGACGAUCAGAUACCGUCGUAGUCUUAACCAUAAACGAUGCCGACCAGCGAUUAGGAGACGUUGAAUACAAAACACCACCAUCGGCGCGGUCGUCCUUGGCGUCUGUCCCUUUCAACGGGGGCAGGCGCGAGGGCGGUUUAGCCCGGUGGCACCGGUGAAUGACUCCCCUAG
rnacentral:rRNA from 1 species